AAUAUCUUCAACAAACGGCGAUAGUCGGUUGUGCAGUUACCGCAGAUACCGACUAAGCAGUUGCCACCGUCAUCUCGGUACUCGGAUUGCAAUGAAAUGGCGCCGUAUAGACCGCGGCCGCGUCGUACAGCGGCAAGUCUCCCUGCGACGCCAUCAUCAACCCCCAAACGCGGGCGCGCGCUCCCAGUCCCGCCCGGCAGCGAGACGGGCUCCCUG